GGAAUAUCACACGCGAAAGGAUUUCCACCUCUAUUGUCACCGUUUAUCGUGGACAAAUCUACAUUAUGAUUGUCCCUCACAUUUGAAGCCUUAAUCUCAUCGUUGUUAUCAAAAAAUAUAGAGUCAUCGAGUUCAGGAACUUCCCAGAAUUUAUUCCCAUCUUUUCUGUCGCACGCCAAAGGGUCUUCCCUAUUGUCGUGGA
rnacentral:misc_RNA from 1 species